GGGCGGUGCGAGGGGCAGGGCCGGGCCGCGAGGGGAGGGGGAGCAGGGGGUGGGGUAGGCUAGGGGCGUGUAGUUAGGCUCAGGGUCCGGACCCGGCCAGAGCGAAGGUAGCUAGCUGCCUAGCUGCCUGCCUGCCUUCUCCUCCUCCUCCUUCUCCUCGGGGCCCGGAGCAGAGGGAGGGAGGAACGGAGUGAGAGAGCGAGGCCGGCGGCGGCUGCGGCGGGCGGCCGGCCCGGCAGAGAAGGCCAGCUUCCGAGGAGUUUGUGCCCUGGGCUCCCCGGCCCCGACCGCCCGCCUCCCGCGCACUAAGAGGGAUAGGGGAUUGAGUGGGUCGGCGUGCCUGAGGACGGUCAGUCUCGUAAGAGGAAAGUGGUCACCACUGAAACUCGUGUCGCCCCCGGAAUUACUUAGGUAACGCUUGGGGGGGGGUAAGAAUAAGGGGGGGAUGGGGAAGCCCCUCCGGAGUGAC
rnacentral:lncRNA from 1 species